GAUGAACGCUGGCGGCGUGCCUAAUACAUGCAAGUCGAGCGAACAGACGAGGAGCUUGCUCCUCUGACGUUAGCGGCGGACGGGUGAGUAACACGUGGAUAACCUACCUAUAAGACUGGGAUAACUUCGGGAAACCGGAGCUAAUACCGGAUAAUAUAUUGAACCGCAUGGUUCAAUAGUGAAAGACGGUUUUGCUGUCACUUAUAGAUGGAUCCGCGCCGCAUUAGCUAGUUGGUAAGGUAACGGCUUACCAAGGCAACGAUGCGUAGCUGACCUGAGAGGGUGAUCGGCCACACUGGAAGUGAGACACGGUACAGACUCCUACGGGAGGCCGCAGUAGGGAAUCUUGCGAGAUGGGCGAAAGACUGCAGGAGGAACGGCGCGUGAGUGAUGAAGGUCUUCGGAUCGUAAAACUCUGUUAUUAGGGAAGAACAAAUGUGUAAGUAACUAUGCACGUCUUGACGGUACCUAAUCAGAAAGCCACGGCUAACUACGUG
rnacentral:rRNA from 1 species